GGUUGCGAUCAUACCAGCACUAAUGCACCGGAUCCCAUCAGGACUCCGCAGUUAAGCGUGCUUGGGCGAGAGUAGUACUAGGAUGGGUGAACCCCUGGGAAGUCCUCGUGUUGCAACCCC
rnacentral:rRNA from 1 species